rnacentral:rRNA from 1 species
UACGGAAGGCAGCAGUAGGGAAUUUUCGUCAAUGGGGAAACCCUGAACGAGCAACGCCGCGUGAGUGAAGAAGGUCUUCGGAUCGUAAAGCUCUGUUGUCAGGGACGAACGCUGCGGAUAAGGGAAUGAUCCGCAGGUGACGGUAACCUGACCAGCAAGUCGCGGCUAACUACGUGCCAGCAGCCGCGGUAAUACGUAGGUGGCGAGCGUUAUCCGGAAUUAUUGGGCGUAAAGGGUGCGUCAGGCGGUUGUUCAAGUCCAAGGUGAAAGCCCGAAGCUCAACUUCGGCGAGCCUUGGAAACUGGAUGACUGGAGUGCAGGAGAGGUGAGUGGAAUUCCAUGUGUAGCGGUAAAAUGCGUAGAGAUAUGGAGGAACACCAGUGGCGAAAGGCGGCUCACUGGGCCUGUAAACUGACGCUGAGGCACGAAAGCGUGGGGAGCAAAAUGGAUUAGGAUAACC